GACAGAGGGUGCAAACGUUGUUCGGAAUUACUGGGCGUAAAGCGCGUGUAGGCUGCUCGGAAAGUCGGGUGUGAAAGCCCGGGGCUCAACCCCGGAACUGCCCUCGAAACUAGGUAGCUAGAAUCUUGGAGAGGUCAGUGGAAUUCCGAGUGUAGAGGUGAAAUGCGUAGAUAUCAGGAGGAACACCGGUGGCGAAGGCGGAUCUCUGGACCAGUUCUGACACUGAUGAGCGAAAGCCAGGGGAGCAAACAGG
rnacentral:rRNA from 1 species